GCAUAGCCCCCACGACCGUCGCCGCCGCCAUCGCCAUCCUUUUAUGCGCUGUGUGUGUGUGUGUGUGUGCUUGUGUAGAGCCCCUUUCCCUCUUGGCUUCAUUUCACGUCAAACUCUCGUCCGCUUGCGUGUCAGCAAACUGUUUUUCUUUUUUUUUUGAGGGGGGAGGGGGUUGGUGCCUUUUCGUGUCCCCCUUUACAUCCCCUCGUCCACCGCCUCUGCCAGUGUGUGCGUAUCAUCAUCAUCUCUCUUUUCUUGCUCUUCGCAGAACUCCAUCGUUUAUGGCAUGCCUGGUGUUCUUGGCCGCCACCAACACCGCCUCUGACGGUUCUCACGGCAGUUGUUUCUUUUUUUUUCUACUCUGCUGCAGCUUCAUCUUCGUCUUGUGCUCUCUGUCGUCCCUCGGCGUGGUCGCACGCGGAGAUACGCAGUCGUUUUCUCGUUGCUUCCGUUUUUUUUUGUCGCGGGACCUCCCUCUGUCUCUCCUCGGCCAUCGCCCCCAUCAGCGCCCCACUCGACUCCCUGUUCAACAACGAGAGUGAGCUAGGUGAGAGGGGAAAUACUCUACACAGACCCUAACACGACUGCCCGAUUGCGGCGACCUAUGCGAUGCUUGCUCCCCACCUGUCCUCACGCUCGGCGUCGUCGUCGUCGUCCACGCAAUGCAACACAAGGAUGUGCUCAGUGAUCAAGCCCCUCGUUCUUUCAACACUCGCGCUGUGGGGCGCGUUGUGCUGCGUAGCACCGAGUGCCGCCCUCGCCACCGCCUCUUCCGACGCUGCAGCGACCCGAUUUCUUCCUAGCUCCUCGCAGACGGCGAUAUGGAUGACGACCCCGGCGCCGACGGACGGCACCGAAGUCGAGUUCCCGAGCAACAGCGUCGUCUAUCAGCGUGUGAAGCACCGCCUGCCACCGAAGUCCUUCUUCGAUGCCCACUGGUACACUGGCAUCAUCAUUAUUGUGCUGGUGGUGCUUGCCGCUUACAUUGUACUGGCGCUGUGGGUUUGCCACCACUUCGAGUACGCGGAGCAGCGCAAGGCGAAGAAGGUGGUGAAGCACGCGUACGUGACGAACGGCUUCUUCGACCUGGACCGCGGUAAAACGGGCUUGCGUACGCAGCGGGAUCGUCGCAGCAGCAGCAGCAGCGAACGCAGGACGACAGUGCUCAGCGUUCAUCCUUCCGCAUCGCGCGACGAACACGAAGAGACGCACAACUUGCACAGCGGCAGCGACAGCACGACGACGUCGGAGAGCGACGAAUAUGUUUUUGUGGACGUGAACCCGCUUCAGCCGCAGGGCAUGGUGCUGAGAAAACGCGCCACCUGACACGGGCAUAUUUUUUUUUGCUUGUUGUUUGCCCCCCACCGAAAAGAAAGCGACACACACACACACAUACAGGCUUUCUUCCUUUCUUUUUUUUUUGCUUCCUCGCGUGCGCAAGCACGCAUUUUUUUUAUUGGGCUCUUGUGCUUUUUUAUCCAUUCUCUCAGACCCCCCCCCUCCAUUCACAACCCUCGCAUCCGGCAAGUGCACACAUGUGUGUAGCCGUUCUCGAAGUUGUGCUUGCCCCCGCCUCCCGGCCUCCCUCAUAACGGACCUGCGCACGAGAGCUAUACGGCAUAUUCGCAGCGGAUAGAGUUUUCUUAGUUGCUCUUUGGGCCGUGACGGUGCUGCUGGUGCUGGUGUAGUUGCGCUCGUGUUCCUCACGGGAUGAUCUGUGCGUGCACCGAUAGGUGGACUGUGCCGGCGAGCGCCUUGGUUGCUUUCCUUAUACAACUACAUAUGUAUGGGGAGAGAGAUGUAUGUAUGUGUGCAUGUAUGUAAUUUCGUUAUACGUAUGUCUGUACUUUUUUCUUGUUAUUCUUCUGAUGGCCGUGUGGCGUUGUUGCUCGUCCUCCGUUGUGUGUUGUUGUUCUUUCAGCUUCGUCGUCGCCGGCUGUCUGGACGGGGUGAAAGGGAGGGAAAGCGGCGUCUGUCGCCGCGUCUGUGCGCAUGCACAGAUAUGAUCUGUUUCGUUUUUGUGGCCCCCUCCCUCUGUCGUUCGAUGGCGAUGGGGCGCUGCACGCAUGUGUUCUGCCUUUCACGUCGUUGAUCGCAUCCCUCUGCCGUUUUGGGCGCACCACACGUUCUCGCGGUCCUCUCGUCCUUCCACAUGUAUGUGCAUCCUUCUUUCUAUUUUUUUUUCGGCGGUUGCUGCUGCGUGCUUCUACAAUGCCAUCGCGCCACCGUUCCCGCGGUGCGCGUCGACUCGGUGUGUCAGAGCAGUUGGUAUGUGGCGAGAGUUAUACGGCGGCUUUGAGGGAAGGUGAAGGGGCUGCCUCUACCAGCCGUCGACGUACUGUGCGGUGGAGGUGCCCGCAACCCUCCCGCGUUUGGCACGGAAAGGAAGACGCAAGGUCGAUAAAUAACAAGAAAAGAUGCCAAAUCGCUCCUCUUCGUCUGUGCAGGCGCGUGGUUGCUUGUGGUCUUUGCAUGCGCACAUACGUAGGGUUGCUUGCGUGUGUGUCUGUGUCUGUCAUGACGGAUGAUGUCCAGAAAGGACAAGGCGCAAGUGUUCACGAGUUCUCAGAUUUCUUCGGCACUCAUCACGUGAUCAGGCCCCCGAGUAAAGACGCAACAUCUCCAUCACACGUUAUAAAGCACACACACACACACACACGUCGUAAGCGGCCAUGCAGGUGCCAAGCAGACACGUAUCGCGUGUGUGUAACGCAGGUGCUUAUUCGUGGGCACACACGAACGUGUUGCGCGCGCAUCGUUUCCUGUUUGCCGGAACACGGCGGAUGCAGUGGACCUAUCCGGCUUGGCGUUGACGCAUACCAUUCCACGGCACGCGAGACAGGCGGUGUCGAAGGCAUCGUCUCUCGUGUCCCGCUUCUCUCCUGCAACACCUCCUCCUCCCUUCCCCUCGGAAG
rnacentral:misc_RNA from 1 species